rnacentral:rRNA from 1 species
CUACGGGCGGCACCAGGCGCGAAACCUUUGCAAUGCGCGAAAGCGUGACAGGGGAACUCCGAGUGGCAGAAGGCUAAUGCUUUCUGUCUUUUGGCUAAUCUAAAACGUUAGCAGAAUAAGAUCUGGGUAAGACCAGUGCCAGCCGCCGCGGUAAUACUGGCAGAGCGAGUGGGCACCCACGAAUAUUGGGUUUAAAGAGUCCGUAGCGGGUCUGUUAAGUCUACUGUGAAAUCCGACAGCUUAACUGUCGGGCGUGCAGUGGAUACUGGCAGGCUUGGGAGCGGGGGAGGUCAGGAGUACUUGCGGGGUAGUGGUAAAAUACUGUAAUCCUGCAAGGACUACCAGUGGCGAAGGCGCCUGACCAAAACGCGUCCGACCGUGAGGGACGAAGGCUAGGAGAACGAAUCGGAUUAGAUACCCGAGUAGUC